rnacentral:rRNA from 1 species
AGCAGCCGCGGUAAUUCCAGCUCCAAUAGCGUAUAUUAAAGUUGUUGCAGUUAAAAGCUCGUAGUUGAAUUUCGGGAUUAGUACGCUGGUCGUGCCUUCGGUAUGUACUGGUGUUACUGGUUCCUACCUUCUGACGAACCGUCAUGUCAUUAAUUUGGUGUGGCGGGGAAUCAGGACUGUUACUUUGAAAAAUUAGAGUGUUUAAAGCAGGCUCGCGCUUGAAUACAUUAGCAUGGAAUAAUGAAAUAGGACGUUCGAUCCUAUUUUGUUGGCUUCUAGGAUUGACGUAAUGAUUAAUAGGGAUAGUUGGGGGCAUUAGUAUUCAAUUGUCAGAGGUGAAAUUCUUGGAUUUAUUGAAGACUAACUACUGCGAAAGCAUUUGCCAAGGAUGUUUUCAUUAAUCAAGAACGAAAGUUAGGGGAUCGAAGACGAUCAGAUACCGUCGUAGUC